rnacentral:rRNA from 1 species
UACGGAGGGUGCGAGCGUUGUCCGGAAUUACUGGGCGUAAAGCGCGCGCAGGCGGUCCUUCAAGUCAGAGGUGAAAGCCCAGAGCUCAACUCUGGAAUGGCCUUUGAGACUAGAGGACUUGGGUACGGGAGAGGUGAGUGGAAUUCCGAGUGUAGAGGUGAAAUUCGUAGAUAUUCGGAAGAACACCAGUGGCGAAGGCGGCUCACUGGCCCGUUACCGACGCUCAGGCGCGACAGCGUGGGGAGCAAACAGG